GACCUUGCGGUGCAUUAGUUAGUUGGUGGGGUAACGGCCUACCAAGACGAUGAUGCAUAGCCGACCUGAGAGGGUGAUCGGCCACAUUGGGACUGAGACACGGCCCAAACUCCUACGGGAGGCAGCAGUAGGGAAUCUUCCGCAAUGGGCGAAAGCCUGACGGAGCAAUGCCGCGUGAGUGAAGAAGGCCUUCGGGUCGUAAAACUCUGUUAUAAGAGAAGAACAAAUUGUAGAGUAACUGCUACAGUCUUGACGGUAUCUUAUCAGAAAGCCACGGCUAACUACGUGCCAGCAGCCGCGGUAAUACGUAGGUGGCAAGCGUUGUCCGGAUUUAUUGGGCGUAAAGGGAGCGCAGGUGGUUUCUUAAGUCUGAUGUGAAAGCCCACGGCUUAACCGUGGAGGGUCAUUGGAAACUGGGAAACUUGAGUACAGAAGAGGAAUGUGGAACUCCAUGUGUAGCGGUGGAAUGCGUAGAUAUAUGGAAGAACACCAGUGGCGAAGGCGACAUUCUGGUCUGUUACUGACACUGAGGCUCGAAAGCGUGGGGAGCAAACAGGAUUAGAUACCCUGGUAGUCCACGCCGUAAACGAUGAGUGCUAGGUGUUGGAGGGUUU
rnacentral:rRNA from 1 species